UUAGAUCACCGAAGUCAAGCAUCAUUGGGCGUGGUCAGUACUUGGGUGGGUGACCACCUGGGAACACCACGUGCCGUU